GGCCGGUUGACGCAGUUGGUUAGCGUGUGGAGCUAAUAAGUAAUCACAUGAUUACGUAAUACUCCAAAGUCAUGGGUUCGAGCCCCAUACGGGCCA